AGUGGGAAGUAUUCUGGAUACCUUGGCAAGACCCAUGGGUCUUGCGUCAUAGCCUGAGAGAUAAAUCCUACAAUGAUUUAGGGGUCUGCCAUACUUAUGAAGAUUUUAGGGACUCAAUGGUUUGGGCUAUGCAGGGAUAUCCCCUUUAAGAUGCCAAGAACCUGGACAUCCUCCACCAGAACAAUCUCACAACAUGUCAAGUUUCCAGAGAUUGCUACUGCCUUCUUAAGCAGAUUUUCAAUGACCUAAGUUCCACUGGAAGUAGACCUAACAUAACUAGGAUGAACAGGAAACCUCUGAAUGUGAAAGUGAACACUAUUAAUACUUACAUGAAGGCAACAGGCAUGAACUGGAACAACCUUGGCCAUGCUGGGACGUAUGUUCACCCUAAGCAAAGAUCAGGAAUUCAGGCAGGGCUUGGCUGAGUGACUUCUCUGUUCCACAUGGCAUUGACACGUCUCAGGGCCUCUCCAUGUGUUUUCUCGAGCAAUGUGUUUGGUCUUCUGGAAUUAUGAUUCAUGGAUUCAAGAGACCACGGUAGAAGCUUCUAAUCCUCUUAAAAAGCAAGACUGAUCAUGGGAAACUGUCCUGUCCACUAGUACAUUAUUUCAAUCAGAGGAAGCUACUCUCUGAUUUGUAACCUACUUCUGUCUCCAGGACAACCAUAAGACCAAAGGACUCCUUGGACACCUAGUCAGGAGGGUGGUGAGUUGAACUGAGCAAGCUUGAGCAUCUCAAACUGAAGUGGACACUUGCGCUUUAUACAGAGUAAGGCCCAAAUUGAAUUAACCUGGAGUGAGUCUGCAACAAGCCUAGCGUCUGCAUUUCUAUAACUGAUCUCAGCUAACACUGGAGCUACUUAAAUUCCCAAUGAUUUUAGAAAACUAUUUUUUUUAAAGUGUGUGAUUUGAAGGUAAAUGAACCUAUUCCAAUUUAACUGCUUUAUUUUUGUGGUUGCAUAUAUAAUCAUAUUUAAGCAAUUUAAAAUCCAAACUCCCUUUUGGAGCUGUUUUAUUUUCUGAAGG
rnacentral:lncRNA from 1 species